GGGGAAUUUUGGACAAUGGGGGAAACCCUGAUCCAGCCAUCCCGCGUGUGCGAUGAAGGCCUUCGGGUUGUAAAGCACUUUUGGCAGGAAAGAAACGUCGCGGGUUAAUACCCCGCGGAACUGACGGUACCUGCAGAAUAAGCACCGGCUAACUACGUGCCAGCAGCCGCGGUAAUACGUAGGGUGCAAGCGUUAAUCGGAAUUACUGGGCGUAAAGCGUGCGCAGGCGGUUCGGAAAGAAAGAUGUGAAAUCCCAGAGCUUAACUUUGGAACUGCAUUUUUAACUACCGGGCUAGAGUGUGUCAGAGGGAGGUGGAAUUCCGCGUGUAGCAGUGAAAUGCGUAGAUAUGCGGAGGAACACCGAUGGCGAAGGCAGCCUCCUGGGAUAACACUGACGCUCAUGCACGAAAGCGUGGGGAGCAAAC
rnacentral:rRNA from 1 species